AAAUUCACUGUGGUAAUUGACAGAAACUAAAUUAGAAAGAAUGUGUCUCUGUCCAAAUAUUUGUGGUCCUGACUGUAGUUGAAGCUGGACUUGAAGAGCUGCUUCACAGUGCUUCCAUGGCUGUUGUGUAUGUGCCAUUAGGGCAUGGGUCUUUAAUAUAGACAUUUUCUCAAUUCAGGGAAGACAAAAAGUGUAUGAUUGUCAUUUUAAAAUAACCAUAUUGGUACAAUGAACAGGACUCAAGACUGAAGAACGGACACGGCAGUGAAAAAGUCUAAAAGUCUAAGAAGCGACCCUUACAAACAGGAGCUUAAAAAAAAGGACCUGGUCUUCAGCAGAGUGCCGAGCAUUGGAAAAAAUUUUAGGAAUCUGCAUUGAAGGUGGGAGGGUACCAGGAAAACAUAUCUUUCCUGCAUAUAAGCUUCGCCGAGGGAGCUGGAAGGACGAACAUGGCAGGCAGUCAAGUUUUUUGUUAGGAACAAAAUCACAGCACUGAGGCGGUAAAGUUCAAAAAGACGUUAGAUUUUGUUAGUUAGAAAGAUUAUGUGAUUCAACUUUAUUUUGUUUUCUUUAAUUUAAACCAGUGCUUGUAAAUCUAAGUUCCAAAUUUAAGCUUCAGACACGUGCACUUAUUUAUCUUAGUGACCUUUUUUUCCGGAAGCACUUAAUUUUCAUUUGAAGCACGUGUAUCGGUCAAAGGUGACCUUUUAAUUUCUGAAGCAUUUUAUUUGUAUUUAAAACAAUUGUAUAGGUCAAAGGUGACUUUUUUUUCCUGAAGCACUUGAUUUCAUUUUGUAAUUUUUUGACAGGUCAAAUGUCACUUUGUUUUUAUAAAGCACUUAAUUUGAGUUCAACAGGUCUUUGUUUUCUGGUUAAAUCUGUGUUUACGUUGUGGAACUCCAGGCCUUUAGGGCUGAUGUCAUUUUAGUUUUCCAGAUCUUUUUGCUCUACCCCCUUCCUAUCCGCUGCCCCGGUGAUUCCAGUCAGUUAAAAGUAGGAAAGGGAAAACGAGGGGGAGCCCUAACAUUUGUUUUCCAACAACUCCUGCUUCUGAUUGACUGAGCUCACCUGGCUCAGUAGAUCAACAGGAAGUAGAAGAAGAAAAUCUGGAAAACAAGCAGGAUGUCAACCCUCCAAACCUGGAGUUCAAGAGCCCUGCAGUAAGUGUGUGAUAGAACGUUUAACGGGUCAAAGGGAACCUUGUUCUGUCCAACAGCAGUAUAUUUAGUUUUAUAGAUUGGUAACUAUAAAUAAAUUGCCCUUGUCUCUUAUUUGCUGUUCGCAGUUUCCUUCAUAACAAACAUAUUUUGACAGUGAAUGAUGCCUCGCAUGUUUGGUAAAUGACUUUAUUAGUCAGGAAGUGUGAAAUGAGUACUACAAUCCCAAUUGCCUUAGUUACAGAGCUGUUAACCAAAGUUAGAGUAACUACUGUUGUAUGGGUGGUCCCCAUGGGAAACCAAAAUUCAGGUUUAUUUUUCAUGUUAGUGUUUUCAGUAUUUGAAAUGAUAACACUCCUU